rnacentral:rRNA from 1 species
CAGUAGCCGCGGUAAUACGAAGGGGGCUAGCGUUGCUCGGAAUGACUGGGCGUAAAGGGCGCGUAGGCGGUUUUGACAGUCAGAUGUGAAAUUCCUGGGCUUAACCUGGGGGCUGCAUUUGAGACGUCAAGACUAGAGUGUGAGAGAGGGUUGUGGAAUUCCCAGUGUAGAGGUGAAAUUCGUAGAUAUUGGGAAGAACACCGGUGGCGAAGGCGGCAACCUGGCUCAUUACUGACGCUGAGGCGCGAAAGCGUGGGGAGCAAACAGGAUUAGAUACCCCCGUAGUCCCUGUCUCUUAUAC